GAUGAACGCUGGCGGCGUGCCUAAUACAUGCAAGUCGAGCGAACAGACUAGGUGCUUGCUCCUCUUACGUUAGCGGCGAACGGGUGAGUAACACGUGGGUAACCUACCUUUAAGCCUGGGAUAACUUCUGGAAACGGGUGCUAAUACCGGAUAAUAUCUUUAACCGUAUGUUUUAAUAUUGAAAGAUGCUUUUGCUUUCCUUUAUAGUUGUCUCCGCUCGGCUUUAGUUAUUUGGUAAGUUAACGGCUUCCAAAGGCAACGAUGCGUAGCCGACCGAAGAGGGGGAUCGGCAAAACUGGAACGGAGACACGGUCCAGACUCCUACGGAAGGAAGCAGAAGGGAAUCUUCGGCAAUGGGCGAAAGCUUGACGGAGCAAGGCCGCGUGAGUGAGGAAGGUCUUCGAAUCGAAAAACUCUGUUAUAAAGGAAGAACAAAUGUGUAAGUAACUAUGCACGAAGUGACGGUACCUAAUCAGAAAGCCACGGCUAACUACGUG
rnacentral:rRNA from 1 species